UACGUAGGGGGCUAGCGUUGUCCGGAUUUAUUGGGCGUAAAGAGCGUGUAGGCGGCCAAGUAGGUCCGGUGUGAAAACUCGAGGCUUAACCUCGAGAUGUCAUCGGAAACCAUUUGGCUAGAGUCCGGAAGAGGAAAGUGGAAUUCCUGGUGUAGCGGUGAAAUGCGUAGAUAUCUGGAGGAAUACCGGUGGCGAAGGCGGCAUCCUGGACCGACAUUGACGCUGAGGAGCGAAAGCUAGGGGAGCAAACGGG
rnacentral:rRNA from 1 species